UACGUAGGGUGCGAGCGUUAAUCGGAAUUACUGGGCGUGAAGCGUGCGUAGACGGUUAUCUAAGUCGGAUGUGAAAGCCCCGGGCUCAACCUGGGAAUUGCAUUCGGGACUGAAUAGCUAGGGUACGGUAGAGGGAAGUGGAAUUUCCGGUGUAGCGGUGAAAUGCGUAGAUAUGUCUCAGAACACCGAUUGCGAAGGCAGCUUACUAUGGUCUUAUUGACGCUGAGGCACGAAAGCGUGGGGAUCAAACAGG
rnacentral:rRNA from 1 species